rnacentral:RNase_P_RNA from 1 species
CGAGUUGGCCGGGCGGCCGCGACGUUAGUCGAGGAAAGUCCGGACUUCACAGAGCAGGGUGAUUGCUAACGGCAAUCCGAGGUGACUCGCGGGACAGUGCCACAGAAAACAGACCGCCGCCACGCCUGAAGGAUUAGGUGGGGCGGUAAGGGUGAAACGGUGCGGUAAGAGCGCACCAGCAUUCCGGGUGACCGGGAUGGCUUGGUAAACCCCACCCGAAGCAAGGCCAAGAGGCCGCACCUGGUGCGGCUGCGCAGGCGAUCGAGGGCUGCUCGCCCGAGCCUGCGGGUAGGCCGCUCGAGGUACCCGGUGACGGUGUGCCCAGAUGGAUGGUCGCCGCCGUCCUGCCCCGGUCAGCCGGGGCGGGACGGGACAGAAUCCGGCUUAGAGGCCAACUCGUUCG